rnacentral:lncRNA from 12 species
ACAUGUGGGGAGUGGGGUAGGCGUGUGCACACACACCUGUGAACUUGGGCUGUGAUGCUUCAGAGCGCUAGCUGUGGAGCCAGGCCUCCUGAAUCGAUGACUGGUACUACCGUGUAAGCAAAAUCUUUAAUGUCUUAGUGUCUUAGUUUGCUUAUCUCUACAAAGAGAGUAAUGAGGAUGCCUACUUCCAAGUGGUACUUCCAGUGUGCCCCUACCCAUAAGGCAUUUGGAACAAUGCCUACGACAUAGAUGGUACCCGGUGAACGUCAGCUGCUGUUCGGUCACAUCACAGAUGCUCAGGUUUUCAGGUUAAAGGUCUCCCUGCCCUUUCUGCUGGCCAAGGGCCCUUCGAAGCAGCGAGCAGUGACAGUUAUUAUAGAGCCGUGACAUCCAAGCUAACAGAGAAGAGUUUUCUUCUUCAUGUCCUCGCUGAUCUCCAGCAUCACUGCUCAUCUUUGCAUUCACUGUAGAUUCCAACAACACACAAAAUCGUUAGCUGUUUUUUUUUUUUUUUUUCCAGAAACCUGGCUGGGCUGAUGAAGAACAGAGGUGGCCCCCAGCAUACUGCACUAAUAGAAAAAGACAAGGACAAUAGAUGGGGGGCUCUCAAAUGGUACCCACAGCCACCACCACAACUCAUUAAUAGUAGCAUAUGUUUGCUCUCGUCAACAUCAGAAAUUCGAUAAGGGACCUUGGCUGUAAGGCAGAGGAGACACUGCUUGUCCGUGAUGUUCAUGGCAGAGAUGGGAAGCCUUUGUUCCUCUGAGCUCUUUGCUGCAUCACAACAUUCCCUGGGUUCACCCUCAUCUGUAGUUAUUAAAAUUACCUGCUCAUCAGAAUCAACAGGAAAAAGUCACAACCCGAGACAUCCAUCUGGGGAAGAGAAAGUUAUGGUGCACAGUAUUUACCUACAGAUUCCUGAGAAGCUCUGCAUUUUGAGAUGUUAAUGGAAUUUUGAUAAUUGGACACUAAAGAUUUAUUGGAUCGUAGG